rnacentral:rRNA from 1 species
AGAUUGAACGCUGGCGGCAUGCUUUACACAUGCAAGUCGAACGGCAGCACGGGGGCAACCCUGGUGGCGAGUGGCGAACGGGUGAGUAAUGCAUCGGAACGUAUCUUUAAGUGGGGGAUAACGCAUCGAGAGAUGCGCUAAUACCGCAUAAUCUCUGAGGAGAAAAAGCAGGGGAUCGCAAGACCUUGCGCUUUUGGAGCGGCCGAUGUCUGAUUAGCUAGUUGGUGGGUAAAGGCUUACCAAGGCUUCGAUCAGUAGCUGGUCUGAGAGGACGACCAGCCACACUGGGACUGAGACACGGCCCAGACUCCUACGGGAGGCAGCAGUGGGGAAUUUUGGACAAGUGGGGAAACCCGUGAAUCCAGCCAUGCCGCGUGAGUGAGAAGGCCUUCGGUUGUAAAGCUCUUUCGUAGCCGGAACGAAAACGGUUACGGUUAAACGUUAACCCGUAGACCUACUACGACGGUACCGGAAAGGAAGAAGACCGACCGACCGUAACUACGUAGCC